AUGCGACAGUGGUGGAGGAGUCAGCAGCGUUCCAUGGCCUUCGUCCUCCUAGUCGCAUCUUUUCUUAUAAACAGCCAGAAGAAAACGACGCACAGGCUUCAUGCUCCAUCUCCUGGUGAAGGGGAGUUAAGCUCUAGGACCACUUGGAUGUGGAUGCUCAUGCUCCUCCACUGGGCGAGCUCCAAGGGCACCACGGGGCUUGAGAUUGUCAUCUCUACCCUCGGCCGUGAGGGCCAAGAGGCUGCCUGCACCCUGCUAAAUGAAAUGCUACUUCCGACCACCAACUCGCCUGAUGCCCGUUAUUGGUUUCCUCUUGAGCAGAUGAACUACAUUGUCACAUUAAACUACGGGGACAUGUUCCCUCAGUCCUCUCUCGACAAAUCCAACAGUACAGGUUCUCCGGUGCGCCAAGUAUUGCCAGUGGCGAUGUCUGCAUCAUGGCCCAUUGAGGAGAACAUGCCAGUCAGUUGUAGGUUUUUCUAUAUGCACAUUUAUCUGUUUAGCUUUAAAUUUUGUUAUUUUCCACAUUUGACACUUGUGUUAAUGCUUCUGUGUCGUGCACUUAUGAUUCCAUUGUGA
rnacentral:rRNA from 1 species